GAUCGCGACUCAAGCGCUCCGAGCACACUCUUGAGAGUGCCUCGCACACUACGUCCACCAUUCUUCCCCCUCCCGCCCCUCCCCUCUCCCACUCUCUUUGCGAACACGCUAUUUCUCGUACCAACUACGACGCAAAGAUCGAGCCUCGUUCGCUUCCAAAGGCACGUCUUUCGAGGAGAAAAACUUGCGAAGAAAUAUACCAUAUCGACGGAACUGAAGCAGAUGCAUGACGAAAAAAACCGCAUACGCAUUUUUUUCUCCGUCUGAAGCGUAAACCGUUGGACUACGUCAAGCACGAUAGCACUAUUUCGUACUAAUGAGCAAUUAUGACGUAUCAUAAUCGCGUCAUUCGUAUAGAAAUAAACGAUUGCUGUAUCACUCUCAUAUGUAAUCGGCUUAUAUCUCGGGAUAUAUUUGAUGUGAUUACUUUUAAUUUUCAUUAUCGUGAUCCCGUAUCUCUCCGACAAAUCGCUUUGCUCCUGUCACCAUUUUGUCUCGCGAUAUACAAAUGUUAAUAAACUGCCGGCUGCGUGAUCUCCUAAUUGCAUUGUGGCAAUAGCUGCUCGCGCGUAGCGAGUUUCGAAUUCGCCGACUGAUAAAGUUCCCCCGAGACGAAUUCGAUCGAGCGGCAAACGCGCAUGAAAACGAGACAUUUUCGCAGGGUGGAAAAUA